AAUUUCGAUUUUUAAGCCGAUUUUCAAGCACUUGAUUUUUUUGUCAUACAAAAAAAUAUUUUUAUAUAAGCCACUUUCUUUCUUUUUUUGUAGUUUUUUACGUCUUAUCUCGAGUAGCUAACUGUUUUGUGUCCGCUUCGCUUGCACGUCCGCACGCAAAUGAAUCGUCCACAAGCAGCUAACUCUACAACUUGGCUACUAAUAAACGAAAUCGCUAGUUAACGGUAGAGACAAUCGAGGGAGCAAAAAAAAAAAAAUAUGAGAAAACAAAAGGCAGCAAUUUGAAUGGCACUCAAAAAACACAGUGCAAAGUGUAACAAAAAUUAGUAAAAACAAAAAAACAAAAUACUACAGCAACAACAAAGAGCCUACUAGUAUCUCUAAGCAAGCGAAGCAGAUGGUUACCACUACACAACAGACGCUCACUUAGAUGAAUGAUUAAUUUCCUCUAGUACUGCAUGUCGAUGUGUCGAUUUUUUACUGAGUAAGAUUGUGAAAGUAUGCCUAAACCUGUAAAGAUAUCGCAGAAAUAUGCGGUGGGUCAGCAGUUUUGGUUUUCUCCAGCUCAGGUAAACUUUCCUAAUCAAUAAUGAUUCCACACAGACCCCGGAACUUUUCUCUAUUAUUGCGAAGCGAAUGUCAGAUGUGAUUUUCAUCAAAAUAUACUUGCAAAUUUCUUGUACUCAGAAUCAAAUCGCAGUUCCAAGAUCACCAACAUACUGGACAAUGACACGGAAGGUGCUCAGGUGUUCAAGGGGCAACGCUCGCUGUACUUUCACUUUGCAUAGACAUCGCCUACUUGUGCAAAUAAUUCAGUUCAACAUUCGAAAAACUUACUUUUACACGUUUAUCAGAGUCGAGUCAGCUAUUAAGUUUAGUUAUGAAUCAUUUUAAUAAAUCAUUU